UGGGGAAUUUUGGACAAUGGGCGAAAGCCUGAUCCAGCAAUGCCGCGUGUGUGAAGAAGGCCUUCGGGUUGUAAAGCACUUUUGUCCGGAAAGAAAUCCUUGGCUCUAAUACAGUCGGGGGAUGACGGUACCGGAAGAAUAAGCACCGGCUAACUACGUGCCAGCAGCCGCGGUAAUACGUAGGGUGCAAGCGUUAAUCGGAAUUACUGGGCGUAAAGCGUGCACAGGCGGUUUGCUAAGACCGAUGUGAAAUCCCCGGGCUCAACCUGGGAACUGCAUUGGUGACUGGCAGGCUAGAGUAUGGCAGAGGGGGGUAGAAUUCCACGUGUAGCAGUGAAAUGCGUAGAGAUGUGGAGGAAUACCGAUGGCGAAGGCAGCCCCCUGGGCCAAUACUGACGCUCAUGCACGAAAGCGUGGGGAGCAAACAGGAUUAGAUACCCUGGUAGUCCAUGCCCUAAACGAUGUCAACUAGUUGUUGGGGAUUCAUUUCCUUAGUAACGUAGCUAACGCGUGAAGUUGACCGCCUGGGGAGUAC
rnacentral:rRNA from 1 species